AAUGUUGUUAACAUCAAUAUUAAUAUAGCAUGUUAUUAACUCAUCAUCGUCCUCAUCCACAAUAGAAGGGAACAAAAACUCCAACCAAAAAGGGAAGACAUUUAGUUUUUUUUUUUCAAAAAAAGAAGGAAAAACAUGUUGUAGAGGUGUAAAAGCCAAAGAAGGGAUUUAGAGAGAGAGACAAAAGAGAAAAAUAGAGAAAAGGAAAAAGAAAUUAAGGACGAGAGAGGGAGAAAGAAAACAUGGGGUUAUGCUUUGGUUGCUUCGACGGAGGCAACAAGCGUAUGACAAAGGAGGAAGAGAGAUUAGCCUCCGAAGAAGCACGUGCUAGAGCCGCCGAAGCCGCCCAAAAAAAGCAAGAACAACAGGGUGAAGAAAAACAACCUGCAGAAAAGCAACCUGAAAAUUCAAACAAUGGAGAACCGAUUGUAAAGGUUUAGCAAUUCAAGGGACCACUUAGUUUUUGGCAAAGACAGAUGGGUUGAGGUUAGAAAAUUUAUCUGUCCGAGUGAAUUGUUUAUUACGCGUAAGUUCUAAGAAUAUAUAGGUGCACCAGUGAAAUUCUCUAAUGCCAACUUUCCUUGUUCCAAGGAUGGAGAAUCAAAGGUCUUUACUAAAAUUGUACUACAAUAUUUCAAAAUUGUUGUUUAAUAGACCAAUAAUUAUUGUGUUUCAUUAACAAAUGGUGUUGUAAAAGAAACGAGGAUAAAUUUGAGAAUGUAGUUUGGUGCUUUUAUUUCA